rnacentral:rRNA from 1 species
GAUGAACGCUGGCGGCGUGCCUAAUACAUGCAAGUCGAGCGAAUGGAUUAAGAGCUUGCUCUUAUGAAGUUAGCGGCGGACGGGUGAGUAACACGUGGGUAACCUGCCCAUAAGACUGGGAUAACUCCGGGAAACCGGGGCUAAUACCGGAUAACAUUUUGAGCCGCAUGGUUCGAAAUUGAAAGGCGGCUUCGGCUGUCACUUAUGGAUGGACCCGCGUCGCAUUAGCUAGUUGGUGAGGUAACGGCUCACCAAGGCAACGAUGCGUAGCCGGCCUGAGAGGGUGAUCGGCCACACUGGGACUGCGACACGGGCCAGACUCCUACGGGAGGCAGCAGUAGGGAAUCUUCCGCAAUGGACGAAAGUCUGACGUGGCAACGCCGCGUGAGUGAUGAAGGCUUUCGGGUCGUAAAACUCUGUUGUUAGGGAAGAACAAGUGCUAGUUGAAUAAGCUGGCACCUUGACGGUACCUAACCAGAAAGCCACGGCUAACUACGUGCCAGCCGCCGCGGUAA